rnacentral:misc_RNA from 1 species
GGUGUGAACAUCAUACAUAGGUGGACCAAAGGUAAGGCAGGAGGAGGAGUAACAGGAGAUGGAGGCGGAUAGCCUUCCUUUCGAAGAAUCUCAAGGGCUAACUCAUAGAUGGGAAGUGGCUUCUUUUCUUAUGUUUCCUUGAGGAUACCAAUCUAGGGGCCAGAAUCUAGAUGGUCUUGAUCAUAGGGCUGUUGUUUUUUGCAGGAUGAUCAGCUAUGCUUCUUCAAUUUUUUCCGAUUUCUAUUUGAGAGAGGAUGAUCGUAUUCAUUAUCCCAAUAAUUGUCACAACAGUCA